AUGGCAGAUAAGUUAUCUGGUUCACUUGCACCUCUCUGUAACUAUAGUGGUUCUGUGGAGUGCCUUACUGAUGACCUCAACAUUGCCUUGCCUGUUGCCUUUGAUUCAGUUGCUCCGAACGUAACUAAAAAACGAACAUUGAAAAAACCAGCCCCCUGGUUUAAUGCAGAAACGUGCAUUUUGAAGCGAAACUGCAUGAUCCUGGAACGCAAAUGGCGCUCGACUAAACUUGAGGUCUUUCAUCUUGCAUGGCAUAACAGUCUGCUCACCUAUAAGGGUGCGCUGACUAUUGCCAGGAAUGCCUACUUUUCCAGUAUCAUCAAUUUGAAUAGAAACAAUCCUAAGUUUCUUUUUGACACGGUGAGGAGUCUCACUCAGAAACAAACUCAGACCGUAGGCUCAUCGAUCGUGGCAGGUGAAUUCAUGGAUUUCUUUGAGAAUAAGAUUCAAUCAAUUAGAGAGGAAAUUGAUGCUUGCCGUGCGGCUAAUCCUACACAUCCUGUGGGGCAGGAUGGGGUCCUGCCAAGUAGGAUGGUGAACUCUGACGCAACUCUCUUGGAGUUUAAGGCAAUUCCUUUGGUGGAACUUGAGAGGGUGAUAAAGGCAUCAAAGCCAACAACCUGUAUGUUGGAUCCUCUCCCUUCCAGGGUUCUUAAGGAACUUCUUCCAACGGUGGGGCCUGCAAUCCUCUCGCUUAUGAAUCUUUCAUUUUCAACAGGAAUUGUUCCCUCCAAUUUCAAGGCUGUGGUGUUAAAACCGCUACUCAAAAAGCCUGGCCUAGAUCCUGAAUUAGUCAGGAACUAUCGGCCUAUAUCGAAUCUGCCCUUCCUGUCCAAGGUACAGGAAAGGAUUGUAGCAAAGCAAAUCGUUGACUAUCUGACGAGGAACAAUCUCUUUGAACCUUUCCAGUCGGGGUUCAGGAAUUUCCACUCAACUGAAACUGCUAUUACAAGAGUUGUAAAUGACAUCCUUUUAGCUUUGGAUAAAAAUACAAGCACAAUGCUUGUGCACUCUUGGGCACUCUUCUUCACCGUCUUGAACACUAUGUUGGUUUCGGGGGUACGGCUCUUGGUUGGCUUGAAUCGUACCUCACAGAUAGAACCCAAUUUGUGCAUCAUGAGGGUGCAGAAUCAAAGCACUGUAAAUUGCGCUUUGGCGUACCACAAGGGUCGGUUCUUGGUCCAUUACUUUUUGCAAUAUACAUACUUCCCCUGGGCGACGUUAUCCGCAGCUUCGGAAUUAGUUUCCAUUGCUAUGCGGAUGACACCCAGCUCUACAUUCCUGUAG
rnacentral:lncRNA from 1 species